AUUUAUAGAAAAUCUGUGCGGAGAGCAAGAAGCCCCCAGAUUGUGUCUGGUCUGAUGAUGCUAAGCAGGGUCAGCCCUGGUUAGUACCUGGAUGGGAGACCGCCGAGAAAUACCAGGCUCUGUAGAAA
rnacentral:rRNA from 1 species